CACCUCCCCAAAAUCAACUUUUCCAUCCAUUUCUACAUUUUUUUCCUAGAAAAAACAAUGAAUACAGUGAAUAUUUUCAUCUUCCCAAUUCUGAGUAUUUUGUUCAUGGCAAUUUCUCAUAUGGCUCAUGCUCAGAAUUUGGAUCUUUCUCCAGCAACGGCUCCUACCAGUGAUGGCACUAAUCUGGAUCAAGGAAUUGCUUAUUUUCUUAUGGUGAUGGCGUUGCUGAUUACAUACAUGCUCCAUUGAUUUUUUUCUCUUCUUUUUCUUCUUCAUUUUUGCCGAUUAAAAUUCCAUAAAUUUUUUGUAUAUGUAUAUUAUUAUUAAUGAAAUUUAGUAAUAAUAAAAUUCUUUUAACAUA